UACGUAGGGGGCAAGCGUUGUCCGGGUUCAUUGGGCGUAAAGAGCUCGUAGGCGGUUCAGUAAGUCGGGUGUGAAAGCUCCGAGCUCAACUCGGAGAGGCCACCCGAUACUGCUGUGACUUGAGUCCAGUAGAGGAGCGUGGAAUUCCUGGUGUAGCGGUGAAAUGCGCAGAUAUCAGGAAGAACACCCGUGGCUAAGGCGGCUCUCUAGUACGGUACUGACGCUGAGACGCGAAAGCGUGGGGAGCGAACAGG
rnacentral:rRNA from 1 species